UGGAGAGUGGUGUAAGGGCAGCAUUCCGGGCUUUGACCCCGGCGACAUAGGUUCGACCCCUGUCUCUCCAA
rnacentral:tRNA from 1 species